rnacentral:rRNA from 1 species
CAUGCAAGUCGAACGAAGUAGCAAUACUUAGUGGCAGACGGGUGAGUAACAUGUAGGUAUCUACACUAUGGCCUGGAAUAACACGAGGAAACUUGUGCUAAUACCGGAUAAGUCUUUACGGAGAAAGCUUUAUGCACCAUUGGAUGAGCCUGCACUUGAUUAGUUUGUUGGUAGGGUAAUGGCCUACCAAGACUGUGAUCAAUAGCUGAUUUGAGAGGAUGAUCAGCCACAUUGGGACUGAGACACGGCCCAAACUCCUACGGGAGGCAGCAGUGGGGAAUCUUGCACAAUGGAGGAAACUCUGAUGCAGCGAUGCCGCGUGAGUGAAGAAGGCCCUUGGGUUGUAAAGCUCUUUCGUCGGGGAAGAAAAUGACUGUACCCGAAUAAGAAGGUCCGGCUAACUUCGUGCCAGCAGCCGCGGUAAUACGAAGGGACCUAGCGUAGUUCGGAAUUACUGGGCUUAAAGAGUUCGUAGGUGGUUGAAAAAGUUGGUGGUGAAAUCCCAGAGCUUAACUCUGGAACUGCCAUCAAAACUUUUCAGCUAGAGUAUGAUAGAGGAAAGCAGAAUUUCUAGUGUAGAGGUGAAAUUCGUAGAUAUUA